rnacentral:rRNA from 1 species
UGGGGAAUAUUGGACAAUGGGCGAAAGCCUGAUCCAGCCAUGCCGCGUGUGUGAAGAAGGUCUUCGGAUUGUAAAGCACUUUAAGUUGGGAGGAAGGGCAGUAAGCGAAUACCUUGCUGUUUUGACGUUACCGACAGAAUAAGCACCGGCUAACUCUGUGCCAGCAGCCGCGGUAAUACAGAGGGUGCAAGCGUUAAUCGGAAUUACUGGGCGUAAAGCGCGCGUAGGUGGUUUGUUAAGUUGAAUGUGAAAGCCCCGGGCUCAACCUGGGAACUACAUCCAAAACUGGCGAGCUAGAGUAGGGCAGAGGGUGGUGGAAUUUCCUGUGUAGCGGUGAAAUGCGUAGAUAUAGGAAGGAACACCAGUGGCGAAGGCGACCACCUGGGCUCAUACUGACACUGAGGUGCGAAAGCGUGGGGAGCAAACAGG